rnacentral:tRNA from 1 species
UGGGGUUGUGGCUCAGGGGUAGAGUGCUUGCCUAGUUUGCAUGAGGCACUGGGUUUGAUCCUUAGCACCACAA